rnacentral:lncRNA from 1 species
UCUCCCUUCAGAUGUGAGCAGGAACCUGGAUUCCUCUAGUGGGGAAAGUAAGAGACUCAAGUCACAAACAAAUGGAUAGAGAGAAGAAUGCUGUGUGUAAUGGGUGUCAAGUGCUUUGUCCUCUGAGCAGAGGCAAAAUCCUCAUCUGGAAAACUCAGCAAUGCUAUUUUAGAAUGGCACCAGGCCUCUG